rnacentral:tRNA from 1 species
GGGUGAUUAGCUCAGUUGGUUAGAGCGCUACGUUGACAUCGUAGAGGUCACUAGUUCGAAUCUAGCAUCACCCACCA